AUUGUCAACAUGGGUUGUUGCUGGUCCUCAACAUGGACAUGUGCACACUCUGUUCACACAUCCACUUACACCUGUGCACCCUCUGUAGUUCUGUGGCCUGGGAGACUCUGUCCCCUUGCUGUGGCUCUACACAUUUACACAUAUACACUGUGAUAAAGUCUUAUGGAAUGUAUGCCGCGUUUAACGCAAUACAAUACAACUUUCAGCAACGGAUCUCUUGGCUCUCGCAUCGAUGAAGAACGCAGCGAAAUGCGAUAAGUAAUGUGAAUUGCAGAAUUCAGUGAAUCAUCGAAUCUUUGAACGCACCUUGCGCCCUUUGGCUAUUCCUGAGGGCAUGCCUGUUUGAGUAUCAUGAACACCUCAACUCUCACAGUCUGCUGUGAUGAGCUUGGACUUUGGGGGUUUUGCUGGCCUAUGGUCGGCUCCUCUAAAACAAAUCAGCUUGCCAGUUUUUGGUGGCAUCACAGGUGUGAUAACUAUCUGCGCUUGUGAAGUUUCACCAGGGUGGCCUUCAGCGAUGGAGGUCUGGCUGGGGCUCAUAAAUGUCUCUCCUCAGCAGAGAUGGUUUUGUGAAUGUUUGAUCUCAAAUCAGGUAGGACUACCCGCUGAACUUAAGCAUAUCAAUAAGCGGAGGAAAAGAAACUAACAAGGAUUCCCCUAGUAACUGCGAGUGAAGCGGGAAGAGCUCAAAUUUAAAAUCUGGCACCUCUGGUGUCCGAGUUGUAGUCUGGAGAAGCGUUUUCCGCGCUGG
rnacentral:rRNA from 1 species